rnacentral:tRNA from 1 species
ACUUACAUAGCUUAUAAUUAGAGUUUAAUAUUGAAGAUAUUAAGGAAAUAUUUAAUAUUUGUAAGUA